rnacentral:rRNA from 1 species
UUGAUCAUGGCUCAGAUUGAACGCUGGCGGCAGGCCUAACACAUGCAAGUCGAGCGGAAACGAGUUAUCUGAACCUUCGGGGAACGAUAACGGCGUCGAGCGGCGGACGGGUGAGUAAUGCCUAGGAAAUUGCCCUGAUGUGGGGGAUAACCAUUGGAAACGAUGGCUAAUACCGCAUGAUGCCUACGGGCCAAAGAGGGGGACCUUCGGGCCUCUCGCGUCAGGAUAUGCCUAGGUGGGAUUAGCUAGUUGGUGAGGUAAGGGCUCACCAAGGCGACGAUCCCUAGCUGGUCUGAGAGGAUGAUCAGCCACACUGGAACUGAGACACGGUCCAGACUCCUACGGGAGGCAGCAGUGGGGAAUAUUGCACAAUGGGCGCAAGCCUGAUGCAGCCAUGCCGCGUGUGUGAAGAAGGCCUUCGGGUUGU